rnacentral:rRNA from 1 species
UACGAGGGGGGCAAGCGUUGUUCGGAAUUAUUGGGCGUAAAGGGUGCGUAGGCGGUGUGGUAAGUCUUAUGUGAAAUCUACAGGCUCAACUUGUAGUCUGCAUGAGAACUGCCGGGCUUGAGUAUGGGAGAGGUGAGUGGAAUUCCUGGUGUAGCGGUGAAAUGCGUAGAUAUCAGGAGGAACACCUGUGGCGAAAGCGGCUCACUGGACCAUAACUGACGCUGAUGACACGAAAGCUAGGGGAGCAAACAGG